UAAUCUUUUUAACUUUUUGCUUAAAAUGUUGCUGAUCCUUUGUUUCGUUUUCCAGAGUCAAGAAAACUGUUCUUUUAAGCUAUUUACAGCAUUUAACAGUUGAGUAAAGUACACUCCUUUUAAUAAAAGUUGGUGCAUAUUUCUCUCUACCUGAUUUCUCCAGAAUUUGGAAACUAUUUGCUAACCCUGCUUAUUCUUGUGAACCAACAAGUGAUCUCUGGCUUCUACUCAGAAAAACAAGAGGGAUGAGAAAAUUUAUGGAGAAAGGCCUGAAUAGAGAAAGAAAAAUCCAGAGAGACAGAGAUGCAAAUGGAGGAGCCAAAGACAAAUGCUGAGAUGAGGGGAAAGGAAAACCUAACCCUAAUACACAGUCCAGCUGGGUGAAAUAUUCAAACUUAUCUGAAUUAGAAUUCUAUGAACUCCAGCACCAGGGGAAAA